rnacentral:rRNA from 1 species
AUUGAACGCUAGCGGCAGGCCUAACACAUGCAAGUCGAACGAGUGGCGGACGGGUGCGUAAUGUCUGGGAAACUGCCCGAUGGAGGGGGAUAACUACUGGCAACAGUAGCUAAUACCGCAUACCAUCGGAUGUGCCCAGAUGGGAUUAGCUAGUAGGUGGGGUAAAGGCUCACCUAGGCGACGACCCCUAGCUGGUCGGAGAGGAUGACCAGCCGAACUGGAACUGAGACACGGUCCAGACUCCUACGGGAGGCAGCAGUGGGGAAUAUUGCACAAUGGGCGCAAGCCUGAUGCAGCCAUGCCGCGUGUAUGAAGAAGGCCUUGGGGGUGUAAAGUACGUUCAGCGAGGAGGCGUUACUCGCAGAAGAAGCACCGGCUAACUCCGUGCCAGCCGCCGCGGUAAUUC